rnacentral:rRNA from 1 species
UACGUAGGGUGCAAGCGUUAAUCGGAAUUAUUGGGCGUAAAGGGCUCGUAGGCGGUUUGUCGCGUCGGGAGUGAAAACCCAGGGCUUAACCCUGGGCUGGCUUCCGAUACGGGCAGACUAGAGGUAUGCAGGGGAGAACGGAAUUCCUGGUGUAGCGGUGAAAAUGCGCAGAUAUCAGGAGGAACACCGGUGGCGAAGGCGGUUCUCUGGGCAUUACCUGACGCUGAGGAGCGAAAGUGUGGGGAGCGAACAGG